rnacentral:rRNA from 1 species
UACGGAGGGUGCAAGCGUUAAUCGGAAUUACUGGGCGUAAAGGGUGCGUAGGCGGCUUUCUAAGUUGGAUGUGAAAACUCUGGGCUCAACCCAGAGCCUGCAUCCAAAACUGGAGAGCUAGGGUUCUGGAGGGGAAAGCGGAAGUUCCUGGAUGUAGGCGGUGAAAUGACGUAGAUAUCAGGAGGAACACCGGUGGCGAAGGCGGCUUUCUGGACAGAUACCGACGCUGAGGCACGAAAGCUAGGGGAGCAAACAGG